rnacentral:rRNA from 1 species
UUAAGCGACUAAGCGUACACGGUGGAUGCCCUGGCAGUCAGAGGCGAUGAAGGACGUGCUAAUCUGCGAUAAGCGUCGGUAAGGUGAUAUGAACCGUUAUAACCGGCGAUUUCCGAAUGGGGAAACCCAGUGUGAUUCGUCACACUAUCAUUAACUGAAUCCAUAGGUUAAUGAGGCGAACCGGGGGAACUGAAACAUCUAAGUACCCCGAGGAAAAGAAAUCAACCGAGAUUCCCCCAGUAGCGGCGAGCGAACGGGGAGCAGCCCAGAGCCUGAAUCAGUGUGUGUGUUAGUGGAAGCGUCUGGAAAGGCGCGCGAUACAGGGUGACAGCCCCGUACACAAAAAUGCACAUACUGUGAGCUCGAUGAGUAGGGCGGGACACGUGGUAUCCUGUCUGAAUAUGGGGGGACCAUCCUCCAAGGCUAAAUACUCCUGACUGACCGAUAGUGAACCAGUACCGUGAGGGAAAGGCGAAAAGAACCCCGGCGAGGGGAGUGAAAAAGAACCUGAAACCGUGUACGUACAAGCAGUGGGAGCCUCUUAAUGGGGUGACUGCGUACCUUUUGUAUAAUGGGUCAGCGACUUAUAUUCUGUAGCAAGGUUAACCGAAUAGGGGAGCCGAAGGGAAACCGAGUCUUAACUGGGCGUUAAGUUGCAGGGUAUAGACCCGAAACCCGGUGAUCUAGCCAUGGGCAGGUUGAAGGUUGGGUAACACUAACUGGAGGACCGAACCGACUAAUGUUGAAAAAUUAGCGGAUGACUUGUGGCUGGGGGUGAAAGGCCAAUCAAACCGGGAGAUAGCUGGUUCUCCCCGAAAGCUAUUUAGGUAGCGCCUCGUGAAUUCAUCUCCGGGGGUAGAGCACUGUUUCGGCAAGGGGGUCAUCCCGACUUACCAACCCGAUGCAAACUGCGAAUACCGGAGAAUGUUAUCACGGGAGACACACGGCGGGUGCUAACGUCUGUCGUGAAGAGGGAAACAACCCAGACCGCCAGCUAAGGUCCCAAAGUCAUGGUUAAGUGGGAAACGAUGUGGGAAGGCCCAGACAGCCAGGAUGUUGGCUUAGAAGCAGCCAUCAUUUAAAGAAAGCGUAAUAGCUCACUGGUCGAGUCGGCCUGCGCGGAAGAUGUAACGGGGCUAAACCAUGCACCGAAGCUGCGGCAGCGACACUAAGUGUUGUUGGGUAGGGGAGCGUUCUGUAAGCCUGUGAAGGUGUACUGUGAGGUAUGCUGGAGGUAUCAGAAGUGCGAAUGCUGACAUAAGUAACGAUAAAGCGGGUGAAAAGCCCGCUCGCCGGAAGACCAAGGGUUCCUGUCCAACGUUAAUCGGGGCAGGGUGAGUCGACCCCUAAGGCGAGGCCGAAAGGCGUAGUCGAUGGGAAACAGGUUAAUAUUCCUGUACUUGGUGUUACUGCGAAGGGGGGACGGAGAAGGCUAUGUUGGCCGGGCGACGGUUGUCCCGGUUUAAGCGUGUAGGCUGGUUUUCCAGGCAAAUCCGGAAAAUCAAGGCUGAGGCGUGAUGACGAGGCACUACGGUGCUGAAGCAACAAAUGCCCUGCUUCCAGGAAAAGCCUCUAAGCAUCAGGUAACAUCAAAUCGUACCCCAAACCGACACAGGUGGUCAGGUAGAGAAUACCAAGGCGCUUGAGAGAACUCGGGUGAAGGAACUAGGCAAAAUGGUGCCGUAACUUCGGGAGAAGGCACGCUGAUAUGUAGGUGAAGCGACUUGCUCGUGGAGCUGAAAUCAGUCGAAGAUACCAGCUGGCUGCAACUGUUUAUUAAAAACACAGCACUGUGCAAACACGAAAGUGGACGUAUACGGUGUGACGCCUGCCCGGUGCCGGAAGGUUAAUUGAUGGGGUUAGCGGUAACGCGAAGCUCUUGAUCGAAGCCCCGGUAAACGGCGGCCGUAACUAUAACGGUCCUAAGGUAGCGAAAUUCCUUGUCGGGUAAGUUCCGACCUGCACGAAUGGCGUAAUGAUGGCCAGGCUGUCUCCACCCGAGACUCAGUGAAAUUGAACUCGCUGUGAAGAUGCAGUGUACCCGCGGCAAGACGGAAAGACCCCGUGAACCUUUACUAUAGCUUGACACUGAACAUUGAGCCUUGAUGUGUAGGAUAGGUGGGAGGCUUUGAAGUGUGGACGCCAGUCUGCAUGGAGCCGACCUUGAAAUACCACCCUUUAAUGUUUGAUGUUCUAACGUUGGCCCCUGAUCGGGGUUGCGGACAGUGUCUGGUGGGUAGUUUGACUGGGGCGGUCUCCUCCUAAAGAGUAACGGAGGAGCACGAAGGUUGGCUAAUCCUGGUCGGACAUCAGGAGGUUAGUGCAAUGGCAUAAGCCAGCUUGACUGCGAGCGUGACGGCGCGAGCAGGUGCGAAAGCAGGUCAUAGUGAUCCGGUGGUUCUGAAUGGAAGGGCCAUCGCUCAACGGAUAAAAGGUACUCCGGGGAUAACAGGCUGAUACCGCCCAAGAGUUCAUAUCGACGGCGGUGUUUGGCACCUCGAUGUCGGCUCAUCACAUCCUGGGGCUGAAGUAGGUCCCAAGGGUAUGGCUGUUCGCCAUUUAAAGUGGUACGCGAGCUGGGUUUAGAACGUCGUGAGACAGUUCGGUCCCUAUCUGCCGUGGGCGCUGGAGAACUGAGGGGGGCUGCUCCUAGUACGAGAGGACCGGAGUGGACGCAUCACUGGUGUUCGGGUUGUCAUGCCAAUGGCACUGCCCGGUAGCUAAAUGCGGAAGAGAUAAGUGCUGAAAGCAUCUAAGCACGAAACUUGCCCCGAGAUGAGUUCUCCCUGACUCCUUGAGAGUCCUGAAGGAACGUUGAAGACGACGACGUUGAUAGGCCGGGUGUGUAAGCGCAGCGAUGCGUUGAGCUAACCGGUACUAAUGAACCGUGAGGCUUAACCUU